rnacentral:rRNA from 1 species
UGUGUAGGCGGCUCUCUAAGUUUGGUGUGAAAUCUCCCGGCUCAACCGGGAGGGUGCGCCGAAAACUGGAGGGCUAGAGUGCGGGAUGGGAGAGUAGAAUUCCUGGUGUAGCGGUGAAAUGCGUAGAUAUCAGGAGGAAUACCGGUGGUGUAGACGGCUCUCUGGACCGCAAACUGACGCUGAAACACGAAAGCGUGGGUAGCAAACAGGAUUAGAUACCCUGGUAGUCCACGCCCUAAACGAUGCAUAUUUGGUGUAGGUCAUUCAGUUGAUCUGUGCCGGAGCUAACGCGUUAAAUAUGCCGCCGUGGGGAGUACAGUCGCAAGGCUGAA